CCUACGGGGGGCAGCAGUGGGGGAUAUUGCACAAUGGGGGGAACCCUGAUGCAGCGACGCCGCGUGUGGGAAGACGGUCCUCUGGAUUGUAAACCACUGUCCCCAGGGACGAAAAUGACGGUACCUGGGGAGGAAGCUCCGGCUAACUACGUGCCAGCAGCCGCGGUAAUACGUAGGGAGCGAGCGUUGUCCGGAAUUACUGGGUGUAAAGGGAGCGUAGGCGGGGAUGCAAGUUGGGGGUCAAAACUACCGGCUCAACUGGUAGUCGCACUCAAAACUGCAGCUCUUGAGUGAAGUAGAGGCAGGCGGAAUUCCUGGUGUAGCGGUGAAAUGCGUAGAUAUUAGGAGGAACACCAGUGGCGAAGGCGGCCUGCUGGGCUUUGACUGACGCUGAGGCUCGAAAGUGUGGGGAGCAAACAGGAUUAGAUACCCUGGUAGUC
rnacentral:rRNA from 1 species